AACGAACGCUGGCGGCAUGCCUAACACAUGCGAGUCGAACGAGAACUUCGGGUCUAGUGGCGCACGGGUGCGUAACGCGUGGGAACCUGCCCUUAGGUUCGGAAUAACUCCCCGAAAGGGGUGCUAAUACCGGAUAAUGUCUUCGGACCAAAGAUUUAUCGCCUUUGGAUGGGCCCGCGUUGGAUUAGCUAGUUGGUAGGGUAAAAGCCUACCAAGGCGACGAUCCAUAGCUGGUCUGAGAGGAUGAUCAGCCACACUGGGACUGAGACACGGCCCAGACUCCUACGGGAGGCAGCAGUGGGGAAUAUUGGACAAUGGGCGAAAGCCUGAUCCAGCAGUGCCGCGUGAGUGAUGAAGGCCUUAGGGUUGUAAAGCUCUUUUACCCGGGAUGAUAAUGACAGUACCGGGAGAAUAAGCUCCGGCUAACUCCGUG
rnacentral:rRNA from 1 species